GCUUUUAGUCUCUCAAAGAAAGUCGGAGAAUUGAAAAAGCAGGUGGCAGCAUAAAGUACAUGGUUCUGGUACAUUCAUGGAAUCUUCUUAGAGGCAUCUUCCUCUUCAGGCUCCUCAAAGGAUGGCUCUAAUCUUUAGCAGGAUGAAAUGGAGGAUAUGCUUGUGGUUAGGACCGUAGAUAUUGUCUGCUAUGGUUGGAGUCAUCUCCUAUCUAUUCUU